rnacentral:rRNA from 1 species
AUUGAACGCUGGCGGCAUGCCUUACACAUGCAAGUCGAACGGCAGCACGGGUGCUUGCACCUGGUGGCGAGUGGCGAACGGGUGAGUAAUACAACGGAACAUGUCCUGUAGUGGGGGAUAGCCCGGCGAAAGCCGGAUUAAUACCGCAUACGAUCUACGGAUGAAAGCGGGGGCCCUUCGGGCCUCGCGCUAUCGGGUUGGCCGAUGGCUGAUUAGCUAGUUGGUGGGGUAAAGGCCUACCAAGGCGACGAUCAGUAGCUGGUCUGAGAGGACGACCAGCCACACUGGGACUGAGACACGGCCCAGACUCCUACGGGAGGCAGCAGUGGGGAAUUUUGGACAAUGGGCGAAAGCCUGAUCCAGCAAUGCCGCGUGUGUGAAGAAGGCCUUCGGGUUGUAAAGCACUUUUGUCCGGAAAGAAAUCCUUGGCCCUAAUACGGUCGGGGGAUGACGGUACCGGAAGAAUAAGCACCGGCUAACUACGUG